CCUACGGGUGGCAGCAGUGAGGAAUAUUGGUCAAUGGACGAGAGUCUGAACCAGCCAAGUAGCGUGAAGGAUGACUGCCCUAUGGGUUGUAAACUUCUUUUAUAUGGGAAUAAAACAGGGUAUGCAUACCCUCUCGUAUGUACCAUAUGAAUACGGAUCGGCUAACUCCGUGCCAGCAGCCGCGGUAAUACGGAGGAUACGUGCGUUAUCCGGAUUUAUUGGGUUUAAAGGGAGCGUAGGUGGAUUGUUAAGUUAGUUGUGAAAGUGUGCGGCUCAACCGUAGAAUUGCAGUUGAAACUGGCAGUCUUGAGUACAGUAGAGGUGGGCGGAAUUCGUGGUGUAGCGGUGAAAUGCUUAGAUAUCACGAAGAACUCCGAUUGCGAAGGCAGUUCACUGGACUGCAACUGACACUGAGGCUCGAAAGUGUGGGUAUCAAACAGGAUUAGAUACCCUAGUAGUC
rnacentral:rRNA from 1 species